ACUACUGGUAUGUGAAUACCAGUAGUGAAAUACAUUUGACCAAAGGAUUCCACUACUGAUACUUUAAUAUCGGUAGUGAAAAGUUCAGAGACAAGGGAUUUCACUACUGGCUUUCUUAAAUCCGUAGUGAAAAGUAGACACGGUGGCAAUGUUGUAAUUACAUUAAAAUUUGUUUUAAUUGUGUUUCACUACCGAUCUAGGAUUCACCCGUAGUGGAAUCCCUAUUAGUGUUAUUAAUUUUUUCAUAUUCUCAUUCAUUCCCAAUUAUCCCUAAUUUGUUCAUACGCGUUCCAAGUUCCUCAAACCUCCAAUCGUCCCACUGCAAACUCUAAACCUCCAAUCGUUCCUCAAAUCGUCCCAAUCGUUCCUCCCAUUCGCCAAAUCCCAAUCAUUCUCCAAUCUCUCCAUUCUCCAAUCUCCAAUUUCAUUCGGUUUCAUUCUCCAAACCCUAGACGGCCGACCCUGCAGAACGCUUGAAUCGCCUCCAAAUUUCUUCGUUUUCAUUCGGUAAAGGAACAUCUUUAGGAUUCUUUUCUAUAUUUGAAAAGCUGGUUCUAUUGGAAAUUUUGCAAAUAAAUUUAUAUACUGAAAGUACUUUAUGACAACGGAGCUUAAUACAAAGAAAAUGGGAAUGGAUUCUGCCCUUUCAGAUUGGCGAAGGUCAGAGAACGUCUCACAUUUUCUUUUUCUUUUUUCAGUUUCCUUUUGAUCACUGUCUUUGUUGAACCUUGGAUUUUUUCCCCUCUUGGUUCUGUUUUAAGUCAAAGAUAUAUCACUCUUCUAAAACAACUUGACGUUCUUUCCUAAUGAAGCAAAUAAAUUGUCCUUCAUGAUUUGAUCGUUUGAUGGUUUUUUCCCUUUUAAAUCAUUCAUACGGCUUGGUGUUUUCAUAUCAACUUGCUUAUUUGUUAUUUUAAUACAAUGUUAUAUUUUUGGGCUGAGACUGCUGAUUACAACUUAAAAUUCCAUAGUCAUGUCUCUUAAUACAAAUGUUACUAUAUAUAAUUAUGUCAUCCAUUUGUAGGGGAGGAAACAAUAUAAUACAAAUGACUGUGGAUACUAUGUAAUGAAAAAUAUGUUGGACAUUGUCACUGCUAAGAUAACUGAGUCUUGGAUGGAGGUAUUUAAUGACCCAAGUGAGUUAACAGCUGACGAGAUGUAUGAAUUGCGACUACGUUGGUCAACAUAUUUUUUGGAGUUAUUGGAGGGUUAAGAUUUAUCUGGUGAGUUAUAGAAUAGUUAAUUAUUUAAUUUUAAUGCAUCUGAUUUUUCGGAGAGGUUUUCGUCACAGCACGGACACACGGAUUAAUUUGAUUUAUAGUGUUUUUUCUAAAAUUAGAAUCCAAUAAAUCCAUUAUAUUUGAUUUGAUUAAGUUCGGUUGAUCAGUUCACGUGAAUAUGAGAUAUACUUAAAAUAUUCCUUACAUUAUUUGUUUGUGUUUUCUGCAAAUUUUAUAUGCAGUUUUCAAUGCUCAGUUGCAUAUAUAAUAUAAUUCCAUCACAUUCUUCAAAAUGAAGCUGUGUUACAUUUUCUGGUUACUGUGUUUGGCAUCACAUUCACACAGUCACACUUCAAAAUGAAGCUGUGUUGCAUUUUCUGGGCAUUGAAACAUGUUCAGUUUAAUUGAGCUGCUCAUAUACUAAAUUCAGUUACGAAUUUCAUUGGAAAGAGGAAUGCAGUCUGGAAAAUUGGGAAUAGGAUAUUCAAUGUAUUGUAGUAGGAAGGGAAUGGGGUGUGGCUUAUUUGGUGGCCAGCCUUAUGGCUGGUUCUUUACAAGGUUACAUUAGAGUUAUAAUGCCUAGUUUUACAACUAAGGUUAUAUGUUAUACGGAUAGUUUUUUCAACUGCGAUGAUUGAAAAAAUUGCUUAAAUUAUUCAAAAGUCAUGUAUCAUGGAUAUAUUACUUCUUUAAUUUGUUCUUUGUGUUUUUUGGAUUUACCCCUA